GACGAACGCUGGCGGCGUGCUUAACACAUGCAAGUCGAGCGGUAAGGCCCUUUCGGGGGUACACGAGCGGCGAACGGGUGAGUAACACGUGGGUGACCUGCCCUUAGCUCUGGGAUAAGCCUGGGAAACUGGGUCUAAUACCGGAUAUGACUCCAUGACGCAUGUUGUGGGGUGGAAAGCCUUGUGCGGCUAGGGGAUGGGCCUGCGGCCUAUCAGCUUGUUGGUGGGGUGAUGGCCUACCAAGGCGACGACGGUAGCCGGCCUGAGAGGGCGACCGGCCACACUGGGACUGAGACACGGGCCCAGACUCCUACGGGAGGCAGCAGUGGGGAAUCUUGCGCAAUGGGCGAAAG
rnacentral:rRNA from 1 species